UGGGGAAUAUUGGACAAUGGGCGAAAGCCUGAUCCAGCCAUGUCGCGUGUGUGAAGAAGGUCUUCGGAUUGUAAAGCACUUUAAGUUGGGAGGAAGGGCAUUAACCUAAUACGUUAGUGUUUUGACGUUACCGACAGAAUAAGCACCGGCUAACUCUGUGCCAGCAGCCGCGGUAAUACAGAGGGUGCAAGCGUUAAUCGGAAUUACUGGGCGUAAAGCGCGCGUAGGUGGUUUGUUAAGUUGGAUGUGAAAUCCCCGGGCUCAAACUGGGAACUGCAUUCAAAACUGACUGACUAGAGUAUGGUAGAGGGUGGUGGAAUUUCCUGUGUAGCGGUGAAAUGCGUAGAUAUAGGAAGGAACACCAGUGGCGAAGGCGACCACCUGGACUAAUACUGACACUGAGGUGCGAAAGCGUGGGGAGCAAACA
rnacentral:rRNA from 1 species